rnacentral:rRNA from 1 species
GAUGAACGCUGGCGGCGUGCUUAACACAUGCAAGUCGAACGAGAAGUGAAGACGGAAACCUUCGGGCGGAAGGCUUUAUUUCGAGUGGCGGGCGGGUGAGUAACACGUGGGUAACCUGCCUCAUAAAGGGGGGUAAAAGUAGGAAACGACUGUUAAUACCGCAUAAGUCCACAGCACCGCAUGGUGCGGGUGUCAAAACUCCGGUGGCAUGAGAGGGACCCGCGUGCGAGUAGCCAGUUGGCGGGGGAACGGCCCAUCAAAGCGACGAUCGACAGCCGAGCUGGGAGGAUCACCGGCCACACUGAGACUGGGAAACAGUCCAAAAUCCUGGGGGAAGCAGCAGAGGGGAAUAUAGCAAAAUGGGGGAAAUGCUGAAGGAGCGCCGCCGCGUGAGUGAAGAAGUAGGGCAGUAAGUGAAGCUCGAUCAGCAGGGAAGAAUAUGACGGUACCUGAAUAAGAAGCCCCGGCUAACUACGUG